rnacentral:ncRNA from 1 species
GUAAUAACGUGGAAAGGGAGUAGUAAGCAGCGAAUCCUUCAGAGAGCGGAGCCGGCUACAUGCUGAGAGGUUCUGCAGGACGUACCUGUUGAAGUCGCCCCGGAGUUGCCGGAUUGAAGCGGAAUGCUUAGAUUCGGCCGGUCACAGCCGUUAUCUGUCUAAGAGCCGUAUGCAUACAGGCGGCCGGGAACGUUCCGGUUAGUCGUCAGGCAUGCGGAAUAAAGGUGGUACCACGGAAGCGUAAGCCUUCGUCCUUUGC